CCCCCUCCUCCGGUCCUCCUGCGCGCCGCCGCCACGCCUUCCUCCUCUGGUCCUCCUCCUCCGCCUGACGUCCGCCCCGUGCUGGACAUGCGCCGCACUGUCGUCCGUAUCGGGCUCCCCAGCAAGGGCCCGCAUGGCCGAGCAAACCCUGAGCCUCCUCAAGGUCUGUAUCGGGCUCCCUGAUGCUGGCACAUGAUGCUUUGGAUGUCUGCUAACAAAAUAUACAGUAGCCAUGAUGUAGUGUGACUGGUUCUUGCAUUGGCAUAUCCAACAACAGAGUGGAAUUGCAUCGGCAGUGUGUUUCGCAUAUCGAAGCAGCUUGGAAUCUUGCAUAUUCUAUUGACAGCUCUGUGUUCAGCAGUGGUUCUGACCCCAAGUUGCAGGAUGAACAGUGAAGGCUUUACCUGUAUAGUGCAUUAUUCAUUCCCCUACGAAAUAUGUUCUACUUGGACAAAAGGUCUAAGAAGGUUGAGGACUACAUGCAAGGAGGAGCAAGCAGUUAGAAGAGAUUGGUUGAGGAUAAGGUGCUAGAAACAAGUGGAAGGCAGAAGAGAUAACAUAUGUGGUGUCUUAUUUACGUGCUUUGUACCAGAUUCUGUCAUUCUAUGUAUGUCUGGUAGCUUAGAAGUGAUUUUGCUACGUAUUUUUAUUUUAGAAUAUUUUUAUAUAUUGGGCUGCUAAAAUGGGCUUGGCCUA